UUCCUCCGGGGGGCAGCCGUGGGGAAUUUUGGACAAUGGGCGCACGCCUGAUUCCGCUCUUCCUCUUUUGGGAUGACGGCCCUCGGGUUGUAAACCACUUUAGUAGAGAACGAAAGGGAGCUAUCGAAUAAAUAGCUCUGCUGACGGUACUCUAAGAAUAAGCACCGGCUAACUACGUGCCAGCAGCCGAGGUAAUACGUAGGGUGCGAGCGUUAAUCGGAAUUACUGGGCGUAAAGGGUGUGCAGGCGGCUGAGUAAGACAGAUGUGAAAUCCCCGGGCUUAACCUGGGAACCGCAUAUGUGAC
rnacentral:rRNA from 1 species